UUGUAAUAUUCCUCUUUUAAUGGCAGAUUGACUGGGGGUUAAAUUCCCUGCAUUGGUUGAUGAAUUUUGUCCCGAAAAACAAGCAAUUCUUGUGUCUUUAAUAUGAUUCUUUGCUGGUUUUGUUUCUGCCAUUUCUGCUGCAUUUUCUUUCCUAUCUGUUAAUGCAAAUCUUUGAAUGAUCAUUGGACAUGGGAGAUGGUAAAAAUCCUAACAAGAAGUGAAAAGAAAUAAAAAGGGGGAGGGAAAUGAGAAUAGGCGUUAAAGGCCUUUGGUUGAAGGGAAAAAGGAAAAGAUAUUUGAAGAAGCAGAGUGAUAGGGUUGAAUUGAGGGAGGUCCAAAUCAAGAAGCUGAAGAAGCGGUGCUUGAUGAUCAUGUGAUGGGUAGCACCACCGUUUUUGUCUUUGAACAGCAUCAUUGGAGAUCGCCAUUGUUGAACACUCCAAGUGUAUUUUAUCAAGCGUGAGCUUUUGGAAGUAUUUUAUACUUUGUAAUUUCUUUUCACGUGAUUUUUCCGAAGGGUAUCUAUCAUAUUUAGCUUUGAG
rnacentral:lncRNA from 1 species